rnacentral:lncRNA from 1 species
GCCAGGCUCCACUUCAGGGUGCAGCACAGCGUUUCCUGUGGUGUCAAUAAAGCAAGAAGAAUGAACGAAUUCCUGGGAGUAUCUUUGGUGACUCUAUGGUUCCAAGUGGCCUGGGCGAAUAGCCAACGGGGAGAAGAGAAUCUUCUGGGUCUGAGCACCCAGGAGGGUGAAAAUGUCACCAUAAACUGCACUUACAAGACUUAUACAGCCGUUUUACAGUGGUACAGACAGGACUCAGGCGGAGGUCCUGCCCUGCUAGUGUUAAUACGUUCCAAUGAGAGAGAGAAGCACAGCGGGAGACUAAGAACCACCCUUGACACCUCCAGCCAGAGCAGCUCCCUGUCCAUCACUGCUGCUCAGUCUGCAGACACUGCUGUAUACUUCUGUGCUACAGA